UACGAAGGGGGCUAGCGUUGCUCGGAAUUACUGGGCGUAAAGCGCACGUAGGCGGAUUGUUAAGUCGGGGGUGAAAUCCUGGAGCUCAACUCCAGAACUGCCUUCGAAACUGGCGAUCUUGAGUCCGGGAGAGGUGAGUGGAACUGCGAGUGUAGAGGUGAAAUUCGUAGAUAUUCGCAAGAACACCAGUGGCGAAGGCGGCUCACUGGCCCGGUACUGACGCUGAGGUGCGAAAGCGUGGGGAGCAACAGG
rnacentral:rRNA from 1 species